rnacentral:tRNA from 1 species
GGGUCUGUAGCUCAGCUUGGUUAGAGCGCACCCCUGAUAAGGGUGAGGUCGGUAGUUCGAGUCUACCCAGACCCACCA